rnacentral:misc_RNA from 1 species
CGCCAAAUCAUGCUGCUCUUGUAAGAUUGGACCUUCUAUUUGUUUGUCUUUUUUUUAACGCCAAGUGGGUGGAUGACAUAGCAGAUGCGGGGGCUGAUCAAUACACCUUUCAUUUGGAAGCAACAGGUCAAACACCUCAGAACUAAGUACAGGGUUUUGGACAUUGAAGUUGAUAAUGGAGUAGGAAUUCCUACGAUUGAAGCAGCUGCUCGGGUACCCAAUUAUACUGUAAUAACUUUACUGUUUAUAUCAAGUAACUACUGGACAGAGUGAACCCAUAAGAGAAAGCCAGAGGAUAGAGAUAAUUCAAGUGGUUACUAGCCUAAGCCCUGUUCUUAAAUUUGUCAUGGGUCUCAUCAGUACUAAAAUUGGAGCUUGGGAUGCAUUGUUCUGUUUAUGACUUCUGGAAAUAAAGAACUUGAUCUAAUUAA